GCUCCCGUAGCUCAGAUGGAUAGAGCAACCGCUUCCUAAGCGGUGGGUCGGAAGUUCGAAUCUUCCCGGGAGCGCCA
rnacentral:tRNA from 1 species